rnacentral:rRNA from 1 species
UACGGAGGAUGCGGGCGUUAAUCGGAAUUACUGGGCGUAAAGCGCGCGUAGGCUGUUGUGUAAGUUGGGGGUGAAAUCCCACGGCUCAACCGUGGAACAGCCCUUGAUACUGCGCGACUUGAAUCCGGGAGAGGGUGGCGGAAUUCCAGGUGUAGGAGUGAAAUCCGUAGAUAUCUGGAGGAACAUCAGUGGCGAAGGCGGCCACCUGGACCGGUAUUGACGCUGAGGCGCGAAAGCGUGGGGAGCAAACAGG